rnacentral:rRNA from 1 species
UACGAAGGGGGCUAGCGUUGUUCGGAAUUACUGGGCGUAAAGCGCGCGCAGGCGGCUAUUCAAGUCAGAGGUGAAAGCCCGGGGCUCAACCCCGGAACUGCCUUUGAAACUAGAUAGCUAGAAUCUUGGAGAGGUCAGUGGAAUUCCGAGUGUAGAGGUGAAAUUCGUAGAUAUUCGGAAGAACACCAGUGGCGAAGGCGACUGACUGGACAAGCAUUGACGCUGAGGCACGAAAGCGUGGGAGCA